ACCCUUUAGUUCAUGAGCAUGAUAAUUGGAUGUUCAUGCCUUAUGCAUGAGAUGUGCUUCCCUCAAACCUUGUUACAAUGUGGGCACAUUACCCAUCUGAUA